CAAUCAAAAGGUUGAGGCAAUGUUGUUCUGUCUUCUCAGCUGCUUAAUAUUUGGAAAUGGUGAGCGAAGAAACAAGCAAGUGGAAAACGACCCCAAGUCCCCUCCCCAGGACUGCAGAAUUCUACGUUUUUCAUCAGACCAACCAGAUUCUCAUUUUGUGCCACACUGGCAAAAAAACGAAGUAACCUUCUGAAAGAAAUGAAUUUUCCCUGCACAUCUGAAAUCACAGUGUUGUGGUGUGUGGAACUUAGGAGCCCUUUGGACUGCCUAGCUCCAGUUACUGGAGAGUUACUGCUGUUAUUGCAGAAUGUAACGAGAUGAAACUCCCCUGAAGAUAUUCCCUGCCCAGAAGUUGAUGGGACUGCUCAUUUUGCUCUGUUACACCCUUUUUUAAAUGGCUCUUCAUAAAGAUUUGUUUUGCAGCAGUUUCAAGUUAUAUGAGGGAGCUGUAAGAGUGAUGGCACUGCAUGGAAACGGGAUGCACAGGAUCUUAGAGCUUAUCAGCUGAAGGCUCGGAUGCUGCAUGGCACGUGCUGACGCUCUGAAGUGCAUCUUUUUAGUUGUUUCCCAUCUGUGCACAUGAAAUAGCUUGCAUCCUGUGUCAGACAAUUGAUGUUGCUACAGCUGAAAUGAACAGUCCUGGAAAUGUACACUUACCUUUGAUUUUGGAAGUAAUUUUUAUGAAUCUUAGGGGUCUAGAAUUACAGACUAUUCAGACACUGCUAGCAAAAUAUUUGGGUCAUUGUUCAAAUAAUUAGCAGAGCAGAAGCUUCAUGAGAGCUGGUACCGUGGAGGACACCUUGCUACAAGUAGCUGCAGUAUCAAACUGGAUGUCCCGAACAGUUGUUAUCUAAACUAUUACAUUAGAUAAUCAGUAAUGUCUUAUCUGUUCCUAUUUUUAAGGUAUUGAGAUUCUGUUGUGUUUUUUUUUCUGUUGUGUUUUUUUUUCAUACUAUUGUUUUGUUUUGUAUUUAAAUGAGAAUGAGAUUUUUCUUGAUUUUCGCAGCUGCAUAGAAUAGAAUAGAAUUCUGAAUAGAAUUUCCUUUACCAAUUAUAAAAGGGGUUUGGUGAAAGGCAGAUUGUACAGUAGCUGCCUGCUUAGCUGACAGGUGAGAGAUUUAUUAGGGGGCUGUAUUAUGUUUGUUGAUUUAUUUAUUAUUAAAAAUCCCUGGUAUCACUUAUGUUCUCUUCUAUAUUUUUGGCUUCUGGUAAUCAAAGUCAUAAAUGGAACAGAUGUAAACUUUCCCGGUCUCUUUACAGCGUAGACCUGUAGGAAACUUAUGACAAAAUAAAUAUAUAAAUAAAUCUCUUUUAAUAUUCUCCCAGUAUUUUUUUGACUGUAACUGCAAUAAUUUUAUCCAUUUUAUAAACUCAAAAGCCUAAGAGCUGUUAAAAUUGUGGACUUAGUAAUUGUCUUUUUGUUUUGAUAGCUGUACAGUGUUACUGCAGUGUAAAAGCCAAACAAAGCAGUCAGUAAUGUUAAUAUGCAGUUAAAUUUUUAAAAGUCACAGGAGAAGCCAAGGGAAAACCUUACAAUUCAUAUCAGAGAAGCAGGCAAAUAGGUGGGGUCAGUUAAGGAACUGGAAAACCGGAAAGACUUACGAAUAUUCCCCGGCCCCUUGGCUGUCUGGUUAAAUUAGGCAGAUACCGCUUACGUGGCUUUGUGUCUGUAAUGCCUAAUGUUAUUUUAUCUUGUCUAGAAAAUUCACCUGAUGGGUGAAGAUGUAUAGGUUUAAUGCCGGAUUUAUGAGACUUCUCUCUCUGACGUUAGAAUUCCCUUGCUGUAGCCCCACGUUCCCAGAAUGCCUGUAACAGGGAGCAGGAUUAGGCAGCUGUCAGCAUCGCUUCCCGUCAUUUCAGAACGACUGACUUGCCAUUGUGGAUGACUCUGACUUCUCCCUCUCAUUUUAAAAAUUUAAAUAAUUGGUGGCUUUUAAUUAAAAGACUUGCUUUAAUCCAUUGCUAGUGAAGCAGAGAGCUGCUCUCAAGUGUCUAGCGCUAAUGUACGUAUAAUAAUGUAGCACGGGGUCUAGAGAAUAUUUAUGAGCGGCUGUGUAUUUUCUCUGAAGAUUCUAAGCUAUUUUGCAGGACUUAGAUUUUAAUAUUGAAAGCUGCUUUGAACAAAUUUGGGUACUCCGGUUGCUGGAUGCUGCAGUGAGAAUGCUAUAUGAAGUUGUUAAGGGAGUAGGGAAGAAAGCAUUUUACAAUGAAAAAGCUGUAAUACUAAAGAGUUUAAGUGACUACUGCAAAUAUAUUUCUGUCCAUAUGUGUUUUUUGACUUGAAUUUUGACUUAACUGAAAUGGAGUGGUGGAGGUGGAUCUUCUCUGUCCCCUAAAAAUAAAUAAAAAACCUUAGAAAAACA